GUGGGGAAUUUUGGACAAUGGGCGCAAGCCUGAUCCAGCAAUGCCGCGUGCAGGAAGAAGGCCUUCGGGUUGUAAACUGCUUUUGUACGGAACGAAACGGUCCGGGUUAAUACCCUGGGCUAAUGACGGUACCGUAAGAAUAAGCACCGGCUAACUACGUGCCAGCAGCCGCGGUAAUACGUAGGGUGCAAGCGUUAAUCGGAAUUACUGGGCGUAAAGCGUGCGCAGGCGGUUUUGUAAGACAGGCGUGAAAUCCCCGGGGUCAACCUGGGAAUUGCGCUUGUGACUGCAAGGCUGGAGUGCGGCAGAGGGGGGUGGAAUUCCGCGUGUAGCAGUGAAAUGCGUAGAUAUGCGGAGGAACACCGAUGGCGAAGGCAAUCCCCUGGGCCUGCACUGACGCUCAUGCACGAAAGCGUGGGGAGCAAACAGGAUUAGAAACCCCUGUAGUCC
rnacentral:rRNA from 1 species